GAUGAACGCUAGCUACAGGCCUAACACAUGCAAGUCGAGGGGCAUCGGGAGGGAAGCUUGCUUCCCUUGCCGGCGACCGGCGCACGGGUGAGUAACGCGUAUCGAACCUGCCCCAUACCCGGGGAUAGCCUUGCGAAAGUAAGAUUAAUACCCGAUGGUUUCCUUUUAUCUCCUGAUAGAGGGAAUAAAGAAUUUCGGUAUGGGAUGGCGAUGCGUCCGAUUAGCUAGUUGGCGGGGUAACGGCCCACCAAGGCGACGAUCGGUAGGGGUUCUGAGAGGAAGGUCCCCCACAUUGGAACUGAGACACGGUCCAAACUCCUACGGGAGGCAGCAGUGAGGAAUAUUGGUCAAUGGGCGGAAGCCUGAACCAGCCAAGUAGCGUGCAGGAUGACGGCCCUACGGGUUGUAAACUGCUUUUAGGCGGGGGUAAAGGGGCGGACGCGUUCCGCCUUUGCAAGUACCGCCAGAAAAAGGACCGGCUAAUUCCGUGCCAGCAGCCGCGGUAAUACGGAAGGUCCGGGCGUUAUCCGGAUUUAUUGGGUUUAAAGGGAGCGUAGGCGGGCUAUUAAGUCAGCUGUGAAAUCCGGCGGCUCAACCGUCGGCCUGCAGUUGAUACUGGUGGUCUUGAGUGCGCGCAGGGGUGUUGGAAUUCAUGGUGUAGCGGUGAAAUGCUCAGAUAUCAUGAAGAACUCCGAUCGCGAAGGCAGAUGCCCGGAGCGCAACUGACGCUGAGGCUCGAAAGUGCGGGUAUCAAACAGG
rnacentral:rRNA from 1 species